CUGACCUUAAUUAGUCCAGUACACAACAACCAGCAAACUAAUCAAUGCCUAAAGAUGUGUCACUCCUUCCUUACAGUACACCACUGUUGGCAGGAAGUAAAACAUUACCCCACAGGUAAAACCAGCAAAGCGUCUGCCUUCAACUGGCUGACAGGAAAAACAGAAGCUGCACUCAGCGCCAUUCAAACCAACACCCCGAAAUCGGAAGACGACCUCGCCUGGGCUCUGGGAACCUUUGAACUUCUCCGAGCAGGGCCGUAAACCUUGCGGCGGCCUGGCAGGAGGUCAGGGCUUCCUGCUCGCCGCGCAGCGAGAGCAGCGUGCGAGGAGGCCGCCGCGUCCCACACGGCAGCGGCAGGAAGUCACAGAGGCCUCCGCCAGCAGCACGUCCACCAAGCCGGGCAAAACCCUCACGAGCUGCUUGGCCGAGCUCGGCCAAAGUGCGUAGCAUUUUGGCAAUCCAGGAACUGCCGGGGCAUUCUGGCUUCGAAAAUAAAUACCUUUGAAAAAAACAUCACCAAGAGCUGCUGAGAAUAUCAGUCCAAAACGCUUCUGUUUGCUUUGCUACAGCCCUGUCAGCACACUGCUCUGAGGAGAACACACCUUCAGGAUUCAGGAACGUACAGUACGAAGAAGGAACGUUCCUAUUGCCAAAGCAUGCAGAUUUUAAACAUGGCUUGAAAAAAAAAAA